UUGCAGUAUCGAGAACAAGAUCUUCCGCCAUUGAAAGUGAAAACCCUAAAUCUGAGUAUGGAAGAUCGGGAAGAGGGGAGAAGAUCGAUGAUGAUGUUACACAGCCGGAUAGUUAAACAAACAGUUUCACUUCACGGUGUACUUUUGACUAAAAACCUCUUUCCAUUAUAUGUGUUUUAUUUUUUUGAUAAAAGUAUUUGAAUUUAAU
rnacentral:lncRNA from 1 species